CACCUCCAAGUACAUUGCACACAAAGUAUUCUGCUUCACAGCACUGUUGUAGGUAUGGGUCCAUAUUCCCAUUCUGCAGCAGAGUUAACUGGUUUGCUCCAGGGGUCACACCUGGAGCUGGGGACACUCGCUGGGUUGUGGCACCCAGAGCUCACAUCACCACCAGGAACUGCUCUGCUCGCUGAGAGCCCAAAUGAGACCGAUGCUGUCAGAAACGGAAUACAGAUGCAAAAUCAGGACAUGGAUCAAUGAGAGAAGAUAAGGUAUUGCUCCUGCAAGCAGAAUAUCCUGUCUUCGAGAUGGGCUUCCUGAGACUCAUGCCCUCCAGCGCUGCUUGUUGACCUCUCCUUCAAACACAUUGGCUUUGAGGGAUCAUCACAAUGGCCAAACCACUCUGGACCUACAUGGUUGUGAAAACUCCAGUCAUGCCCCCAUCAGAGUUUACAGUGAUGCAUUUUUUCACUGACAAAUUAUAUUCUGUUGACACCAUAACUUUUUGCAGGUACUUACCAGUUCUUAUGAAGCUCUUACCUGGGAUAGAUUCUCAUGCCUAGGAUGAGACUUGAAAUACAUCAAAGAGCAAGAAAACUGUCACCCCUCCCAGAUAAUCAUCCUAUCAUCAAGGCACUGACUGGUGGCACAGAAGUCCAGAUUUCAAGUUUCUGUUCUGCAAGAUGUCUGAACGUCAGAAUCCUGCAUCCCAGGCAAGCUUUCAGGCUACCAAACUAUCAGUUAUUCUGAAGAACAGCCUCCUCCGUCUCUCCUGUUGGACCUGUUUCUCUUUGUAUAAAUAAUUAAACAUUAAUUGGAGCAAGGACUUGAACUCAGA